rnacentral:rRNA from 1 species
GGCUCAGGAUGAACGCUGGCGGCGUGCCUAAUACAUGCAAGUCGAACGAGUUCUCGUUGAUGAUCGGUGCUUGCACCGAGAUUCAACAUGGAACGAGUGGCGGACGGGUGAGUAACACGUGGGUAACCUGCCCUUAAGUGGGGGAUAACAUUUGGAAACAGAUGCUAAUACCGCAUAGAUCCAAGAACCGCAUGGUUCUUGGCUGAAAGAUGGCGUAAGCUAUCGCUUUUGGAUGGACCCGCGGCGUAUUAGCUAGUUGGUGAGGUAAUGGCUCACCAAGGCGAUGAUACGUAGCCGAACUGAGAGGUUGAUCGGCCACAUUGGGACUGAGACACGGCCCAAACUCCUACGGGAGGCAGCAGUAGGGAAUCUUCCACAAUGGACGCAAGUCUGAUGGAGCAACGCCGCGUGAGUGAAGAAGGCUUUCGGGUCGUAAAACUCUGUUGUUGGAGAAGAAUGGUCGGCAGAGUAACUGUUGUCGGCGUGACGGUAUCCAACCAGAAAGCCACGGCUAACUACGUGCCAGCAGCCGCGGUAAUACGUAGGUGGCAAGCGUUAUCCGGAUUUAUUGGGCGUAAAGCGAGCGCAGGCGGUUUUUUAAGUCUGAUGUGAAAGCCCUCGGCUUAACCGAGGAAGCGCAUCGGAAACUGGGAAACUUGAGUGCAGAAGAGGACAGUGGAACUCCAUGUGUAGCGGUGAAAUGCGUAGAUAUAUGGAAGAACACCAGUGGCGAAGGCGGCUGUCUGGUCUGUAACUGACGCUGAGGCUCGAAAGCAUGGGUAGCGAACAGGAUUAGAUA